AUUGAACGCUGGCGGCAUGCUUUACACAUGCAAGUCGAACGGCAGCAUGGGUGCUUGCACCUGAUGGCGAGUGGCGAACGGGUGAGUAAUGUAUCGGAACAUAUCCGCAAGUGGGGGAUAACGUAGCGAAAGUUACGCUAAUACCGCAUAUUCCCUGAGGGGGAAAGGAGGGGAUCCGCAAGGAACUUUCGCUUACGGAGUGGCCGAUAUCAGAUUAGCUAGUUGGUGGGGUAAAGGCCUACCAAGGCGACGAUCUGUAGCGGGUCUGAGAGGAUGAUCCGCCACACUGUGACUGAGACACGGCCCAGACUCCUACGGGAGGCAGCAGUGGGGAAUUUUGGACAAUGGGGGCAACCCUGAUCCAGCCAUGCCGCGUGAGUGAAGAAGGCCUUCGGGUUGUAAAGCUCUUUCAGCUGGAAAAAAAUCGCAUCACCUAAUACGUGGUGUGGAUGAUGGUACCAGCAGAAGAAGCACCGGCUAACUACGUGCCAGCCGCCGCUGUAA
rnacentral:rRNA from 1 species